AUGGGCCGGCCCGGUAAAGAAAACGAGCGACCGCCCCUCAAAAAAGAAAAAAAAAGAAAAAAAGAAAGCAAACGAGCGACCGGGCGGAGCGUAUCCUUUUCCUCUUCUUUCUCGAUCUGCAGUCGGCGCAACCUCGACGAAGCCCUCAUGGCGAUGGCGGUCCGCUCGGUGUGCAAGCGGCUCGGCGGCCGCGGCCUCCGCCCGUCGCUGACCGCGGCGGUGGCGCAGCAUCCCCAGCCCACGCCCUCUCGGUUCCUGCACUCAACGAAGGCGGCCACAACUCAUUCAGCUGAGAUCCAGCAGGUCAAAGAGGAGCUCUACCACAUGAUGUCCGAAAACAGGGACAAGAUAGGAAACCAGAAGGGCCUGAUCAAGCACCUCUCAUCCCAUGUGGAGCCUAAACCCGAGGACCCUGUCUGGCGCUUCUAUCGCAGGGCAAAGUGGUACCAUUUAGUCAUGAUGUAUAGCCCAGCAUUCCUUUAUGGCUACAUGUCUAUGUGUGAUGUGCCUGAUGGCAAGAAGGAGAUGACGCCAGCUGAGAAGGAUGAUUUUAACAAGAGGAUGGCCGCGUUGAUGCCCAAUGUAGAACUUUGA
rnacentral:rRNA from 1 species